GCAUGCUCCGCCCCCACAGCUUGUGGGGCGCCAAUUUUUUCUUGGGAGUGUCGGGCAGCCCAGGGGCGAAAGAAGAGGGGGAGGACUGGGAGCCCAGCGGGACGCGCGCUCGGUGAGGAGGAGGAGGGAACCGGCCCGAGGUGUGGAGGGCGCUGACGUGUUUGCUCGGGCACCUCGCAGUGUCACUCCGGACUUCCGAGUGUCGCCCUGCGCCCAGCCGGUUUCCUCCACGAUAAGAGAUAGCCUCUAAACAUGAGCAGCAGUCAUGGCUGCAAGGGGCAUUAUCAAGCAAACGGUGCAGAACCAGGAUGCAGAAGGAGGAAAUGGCAUGGCAAUUGAGAAACCUGCAAGUAUUCUGGGGCAAAACAGGUUGAGAACCGCUGAAAGGCACCAGAUACUCACUUUCCACCAUCCUGAGGGCAUAGAAGGCAACCAAUUGUAAGCCACGAAGAAAGCUCUCACCAGAAACCCAAGUCAGCUGGACUUCCCAGCCCCGGAAAUGUGAGAAAUAAACUUAUGUUGUU